ensembl:lncRNA
CCGUCAACGCUCAUGAAGACAGGGAGUUUGUCUUGCUCACCAAUGUGUCCCAGGGCCUACUAUAGUGCCCAGUACAUAACAGAUGUUCAGUGAAUAUUUGUUGAAUGAAAUAAUGCUCUGCAAGAUCAUAAAAUGGUGUAAUCAUCUAAGAGAUUAUACUAUGGUCAGUAUAGAUGUAUUUAUUCUAAUAGUUUAAAAAUUGGUAAUCAGUGCACACCAAUGUUUAGGUUCUGAUCAUAGUUCCAAUAUGGAGGGGUGUCCCCACACCAACAAGCAAUUCUCAGACAUCACCUGAGUGUCCCAUAAUUCAACUUAUAGGCAAGAGUACUGGAGUGGGUUGCCAUUGCCUUCUCCAAUUUCUGACUAGAGGUAGCAUCAGAUACCCCAGGUUAGGCACUCAGUCCCACAGGACUCCCCCAACCAGCCACUUCAUACACCAGCAGCAGGUCCAGGUUAUCAGCUGUGUUUCUGACCAACUGACUACAAACUGGGCUUCCCAACAACCUCCACCUUGGGUUUCAGACACCAGCCUCCAUCCAGGUUGUUAGCAGUACUUUUGACUGACUGACUAUAAAUCAGAAGUUCCACUAGAGUGGCUUACAGAACUCAGAGAAUCACUUUACUUCCUAGAUCACUGGUUUAUUAUACAAGGAUCAGCCAAAUGGAGGAGAUGCAUAGGGCAAGGAAUGGGGAAAGGGCACAGAGCUUCUGUGCUCUCUCUAGGAGCACAGCGUGCUCUUCGCAAAUCUCCAACCUGGAAGCUCUCCAAACCCUGUUUUUUUGGGGGGUUUAUAUAGGCUUCAUUAAUAGGCAUGACUGACUAACCCAUUGGUCACUGGUGACUCAAUCACCAGGCCCUCUCCAAUCCCCAGAAAUCAGGGGAGUGGAACUGAACCCUCUAAUCAAAGGGUUGGUUUCCCUGGUGACCAGCCGCCAACCAGAGAUGCUUUCCCAAUUCACGUUAUUAACAUUAUAAAACAUACCUUUAUUGUUCUCAAAGUCGGAAAUGCCAAGGGUCUUAGGAGCUCUGGGCCAGAAACAGGCAAAGACCAAAUACACAUAUAUAUUUGUUAUUAUAAAUCACAGUAUCACACCCAAUUAACUGGAACUCCUCAUUUUUAACCAUUUUUCAUAAGAAUUUCAUAAAUACCACUAUGAGCAGAAGCUAUUAUUUAUGUGAAACAUAAAAAUUUUUCAUUCAAAUAUUUAUCAAACACCUACUAUGCACCAGGCACUGUGCCAACUGUCCCUGACCCCAGCAGCCUUCAACGUCUAGGGCAGCCUUUUUCAACUGGAAUCCCUCAUCUACAGAUGCAUGCACAGGAGAUAAGUAUAACAUAAAACAGAUUCUCUAGGGCAUUAGGAAUGGAUUCUCUCCCAGUGGAGAAAGACUAAUGUAAAGUGCCACAGAAAUUAAAAGGAAAUGACAGGGGCUUACCUGGUGUCCAGUGGUUAAGACUGCGGUUCUACCGUAGGAGAUGCGGAUUUGAUCCCUGGUGGGGGAAGUUCUUUAUGCCGGGAAAAGGGACCCCCGCCCUCAAAGAAAUUACAAUACGAUAAUAAAAGUUUGCUUUUAAUAGGGGCAAAUUCACCUGUUAAACCCAGCCAUGGGGACUUCCUGGGUAGUCCUCUGGCUGGGACUUUAAGCUCCCAAAGCAGGGAGCCCGGGUUUGAUCCCUAGUCUGGGAACUGGAUCCCAGGUGCCACAACUGAUGCCCAGUGCAGCCAAAAUAAAUAAUUAAUUUUUAAAAAAAUCCAGCCAUGUAUGAACUACCUGGUAGGGGCAAAGAUGAACAGGCUAUUUGUAAUGUUGGAGUAAAUGCAAAAAUACUGCACUACAUACAUUCAGAUAACUUGC